UCCGCACUGCCGAAGCACCCGCCUCGAGGUCGUGACGCCAUCCUCUCUGGCCACAAGGAGACUCUGAGGCAGAACCACCAUGUGUUCGACGAAAUGCCCGAAUGAAGCGGCAACCCCAUGGAGCCGUCGUGGUCCUCGCCGGACGCGGCCCCAUGAAGCUCAAUCCGCCGAACUUCGUCAUGUCUUUUCCGAGCUCUUCCUUUUCACCACGCCCAUCACCUGUUCGAUGAAAUUCCUGAACGAAACUAGAGGAAGCGCGAUUGGAUCGGCGGCAGUCGAAACAGCCUCGACGAGAUUUUGACGACAGCGACUUCAUCGGGCCCAAACGCCAAGGUGUGGGUCGCUGAAGGUUUCCGCGUGCAUCGUCAAUGUCUCAAUUGUUUUGUAGUGGGGCUCGACGCGGAGAGUAUCGUUGCUGACAGCUACGCCGCCACUCGCAAGUUCAGCCCGCACCCUGCUGCACCUCGUUUGUUCCCUCCUCCACGUCAGGAACGUCAAGCGCCUCAACAACGAAUGCAGGCUCCUCUUCGCCGACGUCGUCGACCACCUGCUCCCCCGUGUUCUUAUCGAUGAUUGACGGGUGCUUGCUGCGGAUGCUGCGAAAUGGCGAUGAAUUGGAGCUUGACAACCUUAUCUGCUCACGUCCACCAACUGUUUGACGAAAUGCCC
rnacentral:lncRNA from 1 species